CUGUAAUCCCAGCACUUUGGGGGGCCGAGGCGGGAGGAUCAUGAGGUCAGGAGUUCGAGAUCAGCUUAGCCAGCAUGGUGAAACCCUGUCUCUACUAAAAUACAAAAAAUUAGCCGGGCACGUGGCGUACGCCUGUAGUCCCAGGUACUCAGGAGGCUGAGGCAGGAGAAUUGCUUGAACCUGGCAGGCAGAGGUUGCAGUGAACCGAGAUCACAUCAUUGCACUCCAGCCUGAGUGACAUGGCGAGACUCCCAAGACUCCAUCUCAAAAAAAAAAAGAGGCUAGGAUCUGGCAGGAGGCCCACUGAGAUUCACAUCCUGGUUCCAGCCUUUUUGUGCAGGAUUUGUCAUCUAUAACAAGUUUCUGGGUGGUGUCAAUGCUGCUGGGCUGAGGACCCCACUUGAAGACCCACUGGAUAAGGCCACUCACAGUGUAUGCUCUUUGACAACACAGUCAGCAGCUCCAGGACAGAGUGUUCCAAGUCCACCUGAGCCUGGGGUGAGUCAGAGAAGCAGAGCUCUGGCUGUUUUCCUCUUUCCCAUUUUCUACCCUGCCUCUGUAGCUUCUUGAGUCCUUGAGAGCCAGUCCUUGUGAACAGGGGCCAAAAAUAUUCUCUUAAUUUUGAUUAUUUACUUAUUUAUAGCCACGCCAGUUCCUGGGCCUGCUUAGGUUGAAGGGAAUUUUUUUUUUUUUUUUUUUUUGGUGGUUUGAGUAAACUAAUUUUGUGGCUAAAAGCACUGA